UGUGCAGCAGCUGCCGCUGUGUGCGCGACGUGCAUGUUGUGGUUAAAGCCUCUGAUUGGUCAGCCUGCAGCUUCAGUUGCUGCAGUGUAUCUGCAAGGAUCAUGAAUGCAGCUUCAUUAAUUUCUGUGCUGAUAUCAUUCCAAUUUAUUCAGGUAUGCCCUCAAUCUGAUCUAACAAAGCACAGGAAUUGUCAUUUAAAUGCGCAGUUUUAAAUGGGUGGCCGGGGUAGCCAGUGCCACCCCUACAAUCUGACUGGCCACCACAGAUGCCACGCCAAAAUGUCUGCCGCCUCACCGGCUCCCACCUUGCUGUGGGGCGGGUGUUUGGCUCUGUCUGUCACUGUCUCAUUUGAUGGGAAUCAUUUCAUUGACAACCAGUACGAGGAAAUUCAACCUAAGGGGCCCAUCUCAUCGGCGUUUCUGUGAGCAGCGUCACAUCCAGGUGAUUACUGUUUGCGUUUACUAACGUUACGCAAAAUAGAGUGAAAUAGAGGAAUUAUCCGUCCGGGAGUGAAGAAAGAGAAAGAAGAGAAAAGAAAGCAGGACAGUGGAACAUUGGUGAAGUUCCUAUCAACAAAAACAGGGAACCAGUCCCCCUCCAGGUCCUGAUCCUGAUGAAUGUCCAUCAACUUCCACCAUCUCCAGCACUUUAGCAACAGCAACACCACCAUCCAUAACUAAAUCAGAACCACUCUACAGGAAAAUAGGUGACAUAGCUGAUCUCACACCAGCCUCUGUGGUGAAUCCCAUCAAGAGCAUAGUGUAGAAACAUGGAGCUAAUGUUGCUGUGGGGUGGUACAGAGGCGGGACUUUCUCCUACCAACACUUCAAAGAUCGUUGUAUACUGAACACUUUAACUGGAGCGCUGACGAUCACAGGACUGACUCCAGACGACAGCGGCAGCUACACAGUAGAGAUCAACAACAAAGUCACCAGCAAGACUCAACUCCUGGUUAUCUUGGCAACAUCACAGACGCUGAACCAGUCACCUACUUUUAAAGUGCGAUAUUAACACGACUACUAAAAAAGAAGAUAACUGAGACUUUCUUCAACUUGCUUCAUGCUGUAUUCACUUGGCACAACUAUAAAUCCUCCUGAAGUAGAGGUCAACAACAAGUCCAGAUGUCCCUGAAACAUCCACCCAGGACCUGGAAACUGCUGAGUCAGUAGAUCCCAGCAAUGAAACUGAAACCAACGAUCAGAGGAAGCCUUGCAGGAAUUACAAUGAAGGUGGCUGUUGGAAAGGUGACAGUUGCCACUACAGACAUGUUUGCGAGUUC